rnacentral:rRNA from 1 species
CCUACGGGAGGCAGCAGUGGGGAAUUUUGGACAAUGGGCGCAAGCCUGAUCCAGCAAUGCCGCGUGAGUGAAGAAGGCCUUCGGGUUGUAAAGCUCUUUUGUCAGGGAAGAAACGGUGGGAGCUAAUAUCUCUUGCUAAUGACGGUACCUGAAGAAUAAGCACCGGCUAACUACGUGCCAGCAGCCGCGGUAAUACGUAGGGUGCAAGCGUUAAUCGGAAUUACUGGGCGUAAAGCGUGCGCAGGCGGUUUUGUAAGUUUGUCGUGAAAUCCCCGGGCUCAACCUGGGAAUGGCGAUGAAGACUGCAAGGCUAGAAUCUGGCAGAGGGGGGUAGAAUUCCACGUGUAGCAGUGAAAUGCGUAGAGAUGUGGAGGAACACCGAUGGCGAAGGCAGCCCCCUGGGUCAAGAUUGACGCUCAUGCACGAAAGCGUGGGGAGCAAACAGGAUUAGAUACCCUGGUAGUCCACGCCCUAAACGAUGUCUACUAGUUGUCGGGUUUUAAUUAACUUGGUAACGCAGCUAACGCGUGAAGUAGACCGCCUGGGGAGUACGGUCGCAAGAUUAAAACUCAAAUGAAAUUGACGG